rnacentral:lncRNA from 1 species
GUGAUUGGUUCCGUCAUAAGUAUGGUGUGAAGAACAAAUCAAAGGUUAUUCUUUGUCAUGAUAUUUUACUAAUAUUUAUUCAUAUAUUCAUAUGGUAUUGUUUAGUCCAAUAACUAAAGUAUUUUUUUCUUUUGGUUCCCAAGGUUGAUAAAGAUGAGAUACAAAUCAACUUGAAGAUUUGAUAUCAUUUUGGUUUUUUCGGCUGGUUUGUGUACAUGAAGCUGAUGAGUGAUUUGUUGACUUGUGUGAUAUGUUGAAUUAUGCUGACUUUUGCUACACCUUGAAGAUUUGAUAUCAUUUUGGUUUUUU